CUUGUUUACUACUGUCCCUUGAUCAUUUAUUUUCAUCUCAUGCUCUGAUUGAUGAGCUAACAGCAAAUCAGUGGAUUCAACUUUCACCAACAGCUAAGGCUAUUUUGCAUACUGGCUUAUUCAUUUAAAUCGCACCUAAGAAGAUGGUUGGUUGAUCAGAGCAAACAAACAUUUGUAGCAACCUGCACAUAGAAAUCAGCAUUCCCAAGUAUUAUAAUAAUAAUAAUUCUUUUUCAGCCACUGCACAAUUGGAUUCCAACUUAUUGGGUUACGACACAUUUGACCUAUUAUGGCUUAUUUAUAUCUGCAACUGAUUCAGCAAAUGGAAUACUUUACUUAUACUCUUGGCAAGGUUUUGCCUAUUGUGGGUUAUUUAUAUCGGCAACUGAUUCAGCAAAUGGAAUGUUUUAUUUAUCCUCUUGAAAAGAGUGAUGGGACUCCCCGCCGGUUCGUGCUUGACCAGCGUCACCUUGAUGACCGCUUGGCGGGACGGCAGCUCGGAUUCCGGGCCCGGCUGGCCCAGCACCACCUGCAGGGCCGCCAUGAGCAGCCACGGCCAGAGCCCGGCCAGGCGCCACGGGGGGACGGUCAUGGCCUCGACUGAGGCGGCGGAGCCCGGCCGCACAUGGUGGACUUCAAAGCAGGCAGCAGGAAAUCACGGAGGAAGCGUGUUUUUUUUUAAGUCCAAAAAAAUCUUGUACUUCUUUAAACAACGGAAUCAAAGCUCAUGCGUGAGCGUUCCGAUCCUUCCAUUCAGAGUUAAUAUUCAAGCGUGCAUCCAGGCGCAUAUUCCGAUCCCAAAGAAGUU